AUUGAACGCUGGCGGCAGGCUUAACACAUGCAAGUCGAGCGGAGCGAGGGUGCUUGCACCUUAGCUUAGCGGCGGACGGGUGAGUAAUGCUUAGGAAUCUGCCUAUUAGUGGGGGACAACAUUCCGAAAGGAAUGCUAAUACCGCAUACGCCCUACGGGGGAAAGCAGGGGAUCUUCGGACCUUGCGCUAAUAGAUGAGCCUAAGUCGGAUUAGCUAGUUGGUGGGGUAAAGGCCUACCAAGGCGACGAUCUGUAGCGGGUCUGAGAGGAGGAACAGCCACACUGGGACUGAGACACGGCCCAGACUCGUACGGGAGGCAGCAGUGGGGAAUAUUGGACAAUGGGCGGAAGCCUGAUCCAGCCAUGCCGCGUGUGUGAAGAAGGCCUUUUGGUUGUAAAGCUCUUUAAGCGAGGAGGAGGCUACUUAGAUUAAUACUCUGGGAUAGUGGACGUUACUCGCAGAAUAAGCACCGGCUAACUCUGUGCCAGCCGCCGCCGUAAUAC
rnacentral:rRNA from 1 species